UACGUAGGGUGCAAGCGUUGUCCGGAAUUAUUGGGCGUAAAGAGCUCGUAGGCGGUUUGUCGCGUCUGCUGUGAAAACUCGGGGCUUAACUCCGGGCCUGCAGUGGGUACGGGCAGGACUAGAGUGCGGUAGGGGAGACUGGAAUUCCUGGUGUAGCGGUGAAAUGCGCAGAGUAUCAGGAGGAACACCUGUGGUGUAGACAGCUUACUGGACCACUUCUGACGCUGAGACACGAAAGCGUGGGUAGCAAACAGG
rnacentral:rRNA from 1 species